rnacentral:rRNA from 1 species
AGAGUUUGAUCCUGGCUCAGGACGAACGCUGGCGGCACGCUUAACACAUGCAAGUCGAACGAGAGAAGAGAAGCUUGCUUUUCUGAUCUAGUGGCGGACGGGUGAGUAACACGUGAGCAAUCUGCCUUUCAGAGGGGGAUACCGAUUGGAAACGAUCGUUAAUACCGCAUAAUAUAAUUGAACCGCAUGAUUUGAUUAUCAAAGAUUUAUCGCUGAAAGAUGAGCUCGCGUCUGAUUAGCUAGUUGGUAAGGUAACGGCUUACCAAGGCGACGAUCAGUAGCCGGACUGAGAGGUUGAUCGGCCACAUUGGGACUGAGACACGGCCCAGACUCCUACGGGAGGCAGCAGUGGGGAAUAUUGCACAAUGGAGGAAACUCUGAUGCAGCGAUGCCGCGUGAGGGAAGAAGGUUUUAGGAUUGUAAACCUCUGUCUUUGGGGACGAAAAAUGACGGUACCCAAGGAGGAAGCUCCGGCUAACUACGUGCCAGCAGCCGCGGUAAUACGUAGGGAGCGAGCGUUGUCCGGAAUUACUGGGUGUAAAGGGAGCGUAGGCGGGAUCGCAAGUCAGAUGUGAAAACUAUGGGCUUAACCCAUAAACUGCAUUUGAAACUGUGGUUCUUGAGUGAAGUAGAGGUAAGCGGAAUUCCUAGUGUAGCGGUGAAAUGCGUAGAUAUUAGGAGGAACAUCAGUGGCGAAGGCGGCUUACUGGGCUUUAACUGACGCUGAGGCUCGAAAGCGUGGGGAGCAAACAGGAUUAGAUACCCUGGUAGUCCACGCCGUAAACGAUGAUUACUAGGUGUGGGGGGACUGACCCCUUCCGUGCCGCAGCAAACGCAAUAAGUAAUCCACCUGGGGAGUACGACCGCAAGGUUGAAACUCAAAGGAAUUGACGGGGGCCCGCACAAGCAGUGGAGUAUGUGGAUUAAUUCGAAGCAACGCGAAGAACCUUACCAGGUCUUGACAUCGUAUGCAUAGCUCAGAGAUGAGUGAAAUCUCUUCGGAGACAUAUAGACAGGUGGUGCAUGGUUGUCGUCAGCUCGUGUCGUGAGAUGUUGGGUUAAGUCCCGCAACGAGCGCAACCCUUACUGUUAGUUGCUACGCAAGAGCACUCUAGCAGGACUGCCGUUGACAAAACGGAGGAAGGUGGGGAUGACGUCAAAUCAUCAUGCCCCUUAUGACCUGGGCCUCACACGUACUACAAUGGCUGUCAACAGAGGGAAGCAAAGCAGUGAUGUGGAGCAAACCCCUAAAAGCAGUCUUAGUUCGGAUUGUAGGCUGCAACCCGCCUACAUGAAGUCGGAAUUGCUAGUAAUCGCAGAUCAGCAUGCUGCGGUGAAUACGUUCCCGGGCCUUGCACACACCGCCCGUCA